UACGUAGGGUGCAGGCGUUAAUCGGAAUUACUGGGCGUAAAGCGUGCGCAGGCGGUUAUGCAAGACAGAGGUGAAAUCCCCGGGCUCAACCUGGGAACUGCCUUUGUGACUGCAUGGCUAGAGUACGGUAGAGGGGGAUGGAAUUCCGCGUGUAGCAGUGAAAUGCGUAGAUAUGCGGAGGAACACCGAUGGCGAAGGCAAUCCCCUGGACCUGUACUGACGCUCAUGCACGAAAGCGUGGGGAGCAAACAGGAUUAGAUAC
rnacentral:rRNA from 1 species